AUUGAACGCUGGCGGCAGGCCUAACACAUGCAAGUCGAGCGGAUGAAGGGAGCUUGCUCCUGGAUUCAGCGGCGGAAGGGUGAGUAAUGCCUAGGAAUCUGCCUGGUAGUGGGGGAUAACGUCUGGAAACGGGUGCUAAUACUGCAUACGUCCUGAGGGAGCUAGUGGGGGAUCUUCGGACCUCACGCUAUCAGAUGAGCCUAGGUCGGAUUAGCUAGUUGGUGGGGUAAAGGCCUACCAAGGCGACGAUCCGUAACUGGUCUGAGAGGAUGGUCAGUCACACGAGAACUGGGACACGGACCAUACUCCUACGGGAGGCAGCAGUGGGGAAUAUUGGACAAUGGGCGAGAGCCUGAUCCAGCCAUGCCACGUGUGUGGAGAAGGUCUUCGGAUUGGAAAGCACUUUAAGGUGUGGGGAAGGGCAGUAGGUUAAUACCUAGCGGUUUUGACGUUACCAACAAAAGAAGCACCGGCUAACUACGUG
rnacentral:rRNA from 1 species